rnacentral:rRNA from 1 species
GUGUUCUGGCAUAUAAGCCAUCCGGUGAAUGGCUCGGCUCAAGCGCUGAUGAAGGACGUACCAAGUUGCGAUAAGCCUCGGCGAACCGCAUGGAGGUUUUGAACCGAGGAUCUCCUAAUGGGACCUCUCAGUGCGUAAGUGCUGAUCCGUAAGGAUCGGGAACGCCCCGGAUUGAAACAUCUUAGUAGGGGCAGGAAAAGAAAUCAAUCGAGAUGCCGCUAGUAACGGCGAGCGAAAACGGCAGAGUUUAAACUGAAUCCCUACCGAAAGGAAAGGGAAAUGUAGUGUCAUAAGCCAAGCCAUAUACAGUGCAAACCAGUGAAGUCGAACUUGUCUGGAACGUCAGAUCAUAGAGUGUGAUAGUCACGUAGACGUAAACUGGCGGACUGUGGUUUGGUCUUGAGUACCGUGGGUCGGAAUUCUCGCGGGAAUUCGGGAGUCAUCAACUUCCAAAACUAAAUACGUCUUGAGACCGAUAGCGUAGUAGUAGCGUGAGCGAAAACUGAAAAGUACCCCAAGAAGGGAGGUGCAAAGUGCCUGAAAUCGGAUGGUAAUGGAGCGAUACGGCGUGAAAGGAUCUGUAUAGCGAAGGAAUAUGUCGCGAGGCAUUAGUACGGGCUAUACUGCCAGCGUCGUAUAUUACGUUUUGAAGAACGGGCCAGGGAAUGUACCCAAGUGGCGAGGCUAACCUCAUAUGGGAAGCCGAAGCGAAAGCAAUAUGCGCGCAACACUGUGAGGCGCAGCGUAUACAAGUGCGUGGAGUCACUAGAGUACGACCCGAAUCCUAGCGAUCUAGGCGGAGGCAGGUUGAAGCGUCUCGAAAGGGGCGUUGAGGACCGCAAGCGUUUUUGAUUUGCAAAUCAUUCGCGUGAUCCCCGUCUAGGAGUGAAAGGCUAAUCGAGCUGGGUGAUAGCUGGUUCCUUCCGAAACAUGUCGCAGCAUGACCUUGCUGGAGAUUGUCGGCGAAGUAGAGCACUGAUUGGGGAAUACCGGAGGGAAACUUCUGGCUCUCCUGCCAAACUCCAAAAUCGUCGUCAUCGUAGAAAGCAGGAGUCCGCACUGGUGGGUAAGCUAACAGUGCGUGAGGGAGACAACCCAGACCGUGGUUAAGGUCCCAGAGUGUCGGCUAAGUGUAAACACAAAAAGGGCGUCCCAAGCCCAAAACAACUGGAAGGUGAGCUCAGAAGCAGCUAUCCUUUAAAGAGUGCGUAACAGCUCACCAGUCGAGGUUUGGGGCCCCGAAAAUGGAC